GACAGAGGGCGCAAGCGUUGUUCGGAAUUACUGGGCGUAAAGCGUGUGUAGGCGGUCUCAUAAGUCAGGUGUGAAAGCCCUGGGCUCAACCCAGGAAGUGCACUUGAAACUGCGAGGCUAGAGUAUCGGAGGGGUUGGUGGAAUUCUCGGUGUAGAGGUGAAAUUCGUAGAUAUCGAGAGGAACACCGGUGGCGAAGGCGGCCAACUGGACGAAUACUGACGCUGAGACUCGAAAGCGUGGGGAGCAAACAGG
rnacentral:rRNA from 1 species